CUGGGGACCACCCUUUCACACAUUGUUCUAUACAAAUAUAUACAUAAUUUAGCAAAAAUGAAAUCAUAUUUACAGACUGUUUUUAUUGUGCCUAAGUUCAACAGCAUCAAAAGCAUUUUUAGGUACUUCAGGCGGCUGUAAACUAAAAAUAAUCAUUUUUGUCAGAUACUGUAUCAUCUUUAUACACAUAUAUUUCAACCUCAUGAAUGUUCAUUACGUUUUUAAAUGUUUUGUCCAUGCUGGCGAACCUUAGAUGGACUCUGCUUUAAAUAAGUGCUUCUCACAGUGAAAUGCACAAUAUCUUAAUAUUAAUCAUUAUCAAGGUAUAUCUCAUUAAUAAUGUACAUUUCACAGUGCCAAGCGAGAAUGACCUCAUUACUCUAAAGGAUUCCUGGAAGUCUGAGUCACAAGCAUAAGUGACAAGAGCUACAGGGUUGGGCUGUGGUGGUUGUGGAGACUUCCUGGCUGAAACAGGGACUGGACUACAAAGACAUGUUAGGGCAGACAGCUUAGGACUUACAUGGUGACACAAUGAUGCCAUAAAGGAUCCAGCCUCUUUCCAUUCUGCCAUCCUCGCUCUGCCAUCCUCGGCAUGUAGACCUUUGUUCUCCUGUUUAUUGCUUAUGACUGAACUUCGGCUGCUGUACCUCUGGCAUCACCUUCCUCCAGGAAGAAAGACAGGUGGAGGGCAAGGAUGAGCUCUGGUCUGCAGAACAUGUCCAUCUAACAGCUUUCCUGGAAGCCCCAGUAGCAACUUCAACUGGGUUUCAACUUCAUUUCACUGGCUAGAACUAUGUCAAAUGGCGCUCCUGGAUGUAAGGGAGUCUGAAAAAGUAUUUUUAGCUAGAAUUAAGGUUCCAUUAGGAUGACUAGAUACUGGGUAGAAAAAGAGAAGGGUCUGCUGAGUCAUAGCAAGCUGUCCUUAUUCCAUGACAAGAAAUAGAGGGGACUUCACUCUUAUUUCAGAAGAGCAUUGAGAGGCUAUGGCUAAGAUACGGCUUAAAGGGGACGCAGACCUUCCGCACAACAACAACAAAACCAGCGCGCUCGCGGCCGGCGCCUCGGCUCUGGUCCCCGCC
rnacentral:lncRNA from 1 species